GAUCAGGAAAAGAAGGAAGCUAUCUCGGCUCUUAGAGUGCUUGAUGUGCUCAAUACGCACAUUAAUUCUCUUGGCAAGAAUCUUGCCCUUAACUUGUUUGUUU